GACACAAGAAGCAGUAGUAGAAUCCGAGUGGAAGUCGUGUAAACCACCACCCCGAGACAUCAGCAUCAUCAUGUCGUAGUGGUGGGCCUGAGGUGGCAGAUUCCUGUGGGCAGAGAAGAGCUCAGCUGACGGUGGCUGUGGGAUUGCAGGGAAGUGGGUUGGCCUCCCACUGAUGAAUUGCCUGAGAUCUAUGCUAUACUGAUUAUGGUGAUUUUGAUCUUCCAUUUCCAUUUGAUUCUUGAAAGAAGGAAAAGAAGAAAGAAAG
rnacentral:misc_RNA from 1 species